AUUGACCGCUGGCGGCAGGCCUAACACAUGCAAGUCGAGCGAGCGGCGGACGGGUGAGUACUGUCUGGGAAACUGCCUGAUGGAGGGGGAUCACUACUGGACACGGUAGCUAAUACCGCAUCCCAUCCGCUGUGCCCAGAUGGGAUUAGCUAGUAGGUGGGGUAACGGCUCACCUAGGCGACGAUCCCUAGCUGGUCUGAGAGGAUGACCAGCCACACUGGAACUGAGACACGGUCCAGACUCCUACGGGAGGCAGCAGGGGGGAAUAUUGCACAAUGGGCGCAAGCCUGAUGGAGCCAUGCCGCGUGUGUGAAGAAGGCUGUCGGGUUGUAAAGCACUUUCAGCGGGGAGGCGUUACCCGCAGAAGAAGCACCGGCUAACUCCGUGCCAGCAGCCGCGGUAAUUC
rnacentral:rRNA from 1 species